rnacentral:tRNA from 1 species
GGGUCCGUAGCUCAGCGGUUAGAGCAGGGGACUCAUAAUCCCUUGGUCCUCGGUUCGAAUCCGAGCGGGCCCACCA